GAUGAACGCUGGCGGCGUGCCUAAUACAUGCAAGUCGAGCGAACAGAUGAGGAGCUUGCUCCUCUGACGUUAGCGGCGGACGGGUGAGUAACACGUGGAUAACCUACCUAUAAGACUGGGAUAACUUCGGGAAACCGGAGCUAAUACCGGAUAAUAUAUUGAACCGCAUGGUUCAAUAGUGAAAGACGGUUUUGCUGUCACUUAUAGAUGGAUCCGCGCCGCAUUAGCUAGUUGGUAAGGUAACGGCUUUCCAAGGCAACGAUGCGUAGCCGACCUGAGAGGGUGAUCGGCCACACUGGAACUGAGACACGGUCCAGACUCCUACGGGGGGCAGCAGUAGGGAAUCUUCCGCAAUGGGCGAAAGCCUGACGGAGCAACGCCGCGUGAGUGAUGAAGGUCUUCGGAUCGUAAAACUCUGUUAUUAGGGAAGAACAAAUGUGUAAGUAACUAUGCACGUCUUGACGGUACCUAAUCAGAAAGCCACGGCUAACUACGUG
rnacentral:rRNA from 1 species